AGUUAAUAUUGAUAGAAUAAUUAUAUUACCCCUACAAAUUUUACUAAUCACACAACAAUUUUCUUAUGAGCUGUGCUAUUCGUACAGACUCAUUUGCAUAGGAUCAGUACUGGGCCUCUCACAUGUGGGGUGGGCCUGUACAAGGAGUUUAUUCCUUUUCUUCCUUACUUAAAUAGCCUUGACUAAAAUUAAAUAAUUGGGGUCUAUCAACUCUCUCUCUUUAUUAAGCACACCACAAGUUUCUACUUAUCGGCAUCAAAAUCUUCAGCUCUCUCUCUCUCUCUCUCCUCCCCUGUGAUAAACCUGUUUUUAUCUCUUCCACUAUACUUCAAACCUGAUUUUCAUCUAAAAGCGACCAGAAAUCUGAAAACAGAUUACAGAUAUUAAAAUAGGGAAUGAUGAAUUUACUACGGACAUCAAUUAUGUUAAAUUCAGAAAAACAGCAGCAAACCCACCUUGAGCUCCCCAUUUGCAACAGCCACACAAAGUGCACAAAGCAAAGCAAAAGCGGAAAGGGCUUGGGAAUUUAUACAUUGAUGUGAAGAAAUCAUGCACAUUGAGUAAAAGCAAAUGCCGGAGACGUUGCUGAAAACGGCCUCGUUAGAAAUGGAGAAUGUAUCAUACUACCAGCACGUUGGCCAAGCCGCCGUCAAUGAAAGCGGUACGAGAGAGACCCAUUUCAAUGGCGAGUAUCGUUUCGAGCAAAUUCGAGACAUUUUAGUGCAUAAAAGCUUUCCAUGAAACAUGUUCACUGCCAAAAAUUUGGGUUUUAAUAGGCCUGCCAUUGCCUCAAUUGUUUUCCUCUCUCCAGUUCGGACGGUAACGAAUAGAAUUGUCCAGAGCUCAGCCCCUACCACAUUUCCUUGGCAUUAUUAAAAGCGUCUUACUUGUUCUUGAAGCUCCACCACGAUGGAGGAGGCGGAUGGUGGGAAGAUGGAACAGCCGAACAAAGUAGGUAGAGAAGAUGAGUGUGGUGUAUUGUAACUGUGGGCUUAUUUGUAAAUUUAUAAUGUGGUCUGAAAAAUAAAAAAUGUGGUGUAAUAUAAUUCCCCUCAAAAUGCCGUUGAGGAGUAUAGGACUAUUUUACCCUCACUGGAAAUUUACACAAGUACCCUCAACCAUUUGAACCAUUUUACGUGAAAUUGACAACCAUAAUGUCAAGGGCAUAUAUGUAAAUUGACAUCUUUAAUAUGUGGAACACUCCAUUGAAUAGUCA
rnacentral:lncRNA from 1 species